GAUGAACGCUAGCGGGAGGCUUAACACAUGCAAGUCGAGGGGCAGCAUAGAGUAGCAAUACUUUGAUGGCGACCGGCGCACGGGUGAGUAACGCGUAUGUAACCUACCCUGUACAGGGGGAUAGCCCGGAGAAAUUCGGAUUAAUACCCCAUAAUGAUAUCGAGAGGCAUCUUUUGAUAUUUAAAGCUUCGGCGGUACGGGAUGGGCAUGCGUGACAUUAGCUAGUUGGUAAGGUAACGGCUUACCAAGGCUGCGAUGUCUAGGGGUCCUGAGAGGGUGAUCCCCCACACUGGUACUGAGACACGGACCAGACUCCUACGGGAGGCAGCAGUGAGGAAUAUUGGUCAAUGGGCGUAAGCCUGAACCAGCCAUCCCGCGUGAAGGAAGAAGGCGCUAUGCGUCGUAAACUUCUUUUCCAGAGGAAUAAAAUUUUGUACGCGUACAGAACUGAAUGUACCGGAGGAAUAAGGAUCGGCUAACUCCGUGCCAGCCGCCGCCGUAAUAC
rnacentral:rRNA from 1 species